AUACAGAGGGUGCAAGCGUUAAUCGGAAUUACUGGGCGUAAAGCGUACGUAGGCGGUUUGGUAAGUCAGAUGUGAAAGCCCUGAGCUCAACUUGGGAACUGCAUUUGAAACUGCCUGACUAGAGUGUGAUAGAGGAUAGUGGAAUUUCCGGUGUAGCGGUGAAAUGCGUAGAGAUCGGAAGGAACACCAGUGGCGAAGGCGGCUAUCUGGAUCAACACUGACGCUGAGGUACGAAAGCGUGGGGAGCAAACAGGAUUAGAAACCCGGGUAGUCC
rnacentral:rRNA from 1 species